GCUCUCGUAGCUCAGUUGGUUAGAGCGCCUACUUAGUCAACAGAGGUCUUGAGUUCGACUCUCAACAAAAAUA
rfam:Nicotiana attenuata strain TT chromosome 2, whole genome shotgun sequence.